AAGGAGAGUGCAGCGUACAGCUCAGUAACACGUGGCUAACCUGCCCUUGGGACAGAGACAACCCCGGGAAACUGGGGCUAAUCCUUGAUAGGUGAAGAACUCUGGAAUGAGUCUCCGCCUAAAAGGCGCUUGCGCUAUGCUCGUGGGCGUCGCCCAAGGAUGGGGCCGCGACCGAUCAGGUUGUUGGUGAGGUAAUGGCUCACCAAGCCGUUUACCGGUACGGGCCGUGAGAGCGGGAGCCCGGAGAUGGGCACUGAGACAAGGGCCCAGGCCCUACGGGGCGCAGCAGUCGCGCAAACUUUGCAAUACACGAAAGUGUGACAGGGCUAUCCCGAGUGCCGCCCGCUGAGGGUGGCUUUUACUCAGUCUAGCAAGCUGGGAGAAUAAGGAGAGGGCAAGUCUGGUGUCAGCCGCCGCGGUAAUACCAGCUCUCCGAGUGGUGUGGAUGUUUAUUGGGCCUAAAGCAUCCGUAGCUUGCUGACCAAGUCCCCUGUUAAACCCAGCGAAUUAAUCGUUGGAUUGCGGGGGAUACUGUUCGGC
rnacentral:rRNA from 1 species